UGGCGGCAUGCCUAACACAUGCAGUCGAGCGGCAGCACGGGGAGCCUGGCUCCCUGGUGGCGAGCGGCGGACGGGCGAGUAACGCGUGGGAAUCUACCCCUCGGUGGGGGAUAGCCCGGGGAAACUCGGAUUAAUACCGCAUACGCCCUACGGGGGAAAGCGGGCCUCUGAUACAAGCUCGCGCCGAGGGAUGAGCCCGCGUCCGAUUAGCUGGUUGGUGGGGUAAAGGCUCACCAAGGCGACGAUCCGUAACUGGUCUGAGAGGAUGAUCAGUCACACUGGAACUGAGACACGGUCCAGACUCCUACGGGAGGCAGCAGUGGGGAAUAUUGGACAAUGGGCGAAGGCCUGAUCCAGCCAUGCCGCGUGUGUGAAGAAGGUCUUCGGAUUGUAAAGCACUUUAAGUUGGGAGGAAGGGCAGUAAGUUAAUACCUUGCUGUUUUGACGUUACCAACAGAAUAAGCACCGGCUAACUUCGUGCCAGCAGCCGCGGUAAUACGAAGGGUGCAAGCGUUAAUCGGAAUUACUGGGCGUAAAGCGCGCGUAGGUGGUUUGGUAAGAUGGAUGUGAAAUCCCCGGGCUCAACCUGGGAACUGCAUCCAUAACUGCCUGACUAGAGUACGGUAGAGGGUGGUGGAAUUUCCUGUGUAGCGGUGAAAUGCGUAGAUAUAGGAAGGAACACCAGUGGCGAAGGCGACCACCUGGACUGAUACUGACACUGAGGUGCGAAAGCGUGGGGAGCAAACAGGAUUAGAUACCCUGGUAGUCCACGCCGUAAACGAUGUCGACUAGCCGUUGGAAUCCUUGAGAUUUUAGUGGCGCAGCUAACGCGAUAAGUCGACCGCCUGGGGAGUACGGCCGCAAGGUUAAAACUCAAAUGAAUUGACGGGGGCCCGCACAACCGGUGGAGCAUGUGGGUUUAAUUCGAAAGCAACGCGAAAAAACCUUACCUGGCCUUGAACAUGUCCGGAACCUUUGCAAAAAAUGCCAGGGGUGCCUUUCGGG
rnacentral:rRNA from 1 species